ACAGUGAGACCUGAUGUAAAUGCUACAGAUAAAAAGAAAAUUGAACCAGCUUGCACAGAAAUGCAGUGAAGAUCGCAUGAAAAUGUGUGGGAGGAGUUGUUAAGUAAUAUCUGUUAACAAUAAAAGGCAAUAAAAUAUGAGCUGAAUUACAUGGGUUGCAACAGCGCAAACCAAGAAUUUAGAGGAAGCAAACUAAUGAAGCUAAACUGUCCAGCAUGGAAGAAAAUAUUUGGAGCUUCAGAAUUACACAAAGGACAGGAAUUUUGGUUUUUGACAAACUGUGCUGCUCACCAGGCCUGCAUUUUGCAUUUACUGAGCACUCUGAUUGCUUCCAGACUGUGUUCUUGGAAGUUUAAGAGGUUCUUUACAAGAGCGGCUUCUGCGGGAUGAAUUCUGUCGGUUUGUGAUUUACCCUUAUGUUGGUCAGUGUCAGCCAUCAAUGUAACCAUGAACCUCCCUGCUGCUUUAUCAGCAUGUGUGGAUCCACAUGAACCCUAAUCUCUAGUCUUUCCCAUUAUUUGCAACAAGGCCACCCCACCAGAGAGCAGAUUCAGAUCAGCUGCAGGGAGCCAAUGCAAGGACUAUUA